GCUCGGUUGACAGGCUUUGUACUAGACGAAACAGUUCGUAGCGUUCGGUUUAAAAUGAAUUGCAAAUGUUCAAAAAAUUAAUUUUGUUAUCUAUUUUUGUAAAUAAUUUGCAAAUAGGAAAAAUAUAAAUAGUAGAAAUAUAUUAGAAAAGGGUGAAAAGGAAAAAAAACUAGCUAAUCCAAAAUAUUUUUGUGCACCGCGUCCAUGUAGAAAGUUUUCCGACUCAAUUUGUGUCCCUAGUGUGAAUGCAAUGAGCGACACCAAAAGAGUAUUUGCCGUCCGUGUGUGAACUUGAUUGCAUACAACAAUGGAACAUUUAUUACUUUGAACACAAAGACGACUGCACGUCAGUGUCGUUGGCUGUGUGUUUAGCAUUUAUUGGGGCUUAGGUAAAAAUAAAGUUGGAACCCUUGGAUUCAAUUUUGUUUACAGUUAAGCUGAUAUAUGGAGACUGUUGUUAACUUUAACUGCCUUUGAUCAAGGACAGCAUAUCUCCAUGCACAGUUUGGUAACUUCCGCGAUGAUGUGAUGAAAUAACUACAAGUUGUUCAUUCAAUUAUAAUAUUUCAAUAGCUAUAGUCGUCUGCACAGUUAUAAAGUAAAUAAGCAGUUACCAUACUGAAGUAGUAUAGUAAAAGCGGCAUUUAAUACUUUUUGUUUUUUUCCGAAAUAUGUAAUAUGGGACAUUUAAAAUAAAAUUCGUGAAACUUUCGUUCAAUUUGUUUUGAUUGUUUGUUUUAUGAUUUAUCUGGAGUUACAGAAAUUUCUGAAAAUUAAAAGAGAGAAAAUAACCUCAAGUUGUUUGAAAAGUUUGAUAAAUACUUAUUGUUGUAUUCUAUGACGUCUGUUUAACAUCAAGGGAUUUGUAUUAAAAAAAUAAGUUCUUAGAAAAAGCACGAUUGGGAAAAAAUUAUAAUUAUAAAGGUUGGUAUAUUCCCUAGAAUGUCGAUUUGAUAAGAAAACAAAGAAUAGUGGCAUACAAAAUUGUGUUGCCAGAUGAGUUGGGCUUGACGUGAGGUGUAUAGAAUAUCGCAAUAUAUUGCGAAAGAUUAAAAAAAGCUAAACAUUUCUUUGCAACCAGGCUUCUUUUAUCCAUUAUUUAUUUCAAAAACGACCACAAAUUUUAAAUGGGAUUAAAGUCGGACGACUAAUACGUCAAUCACCCAGGUGAACCUAUAUCACGCGAUUUCAACCACGGCAGUUACCGGGAGUAGGUUCGUAUCAGAUAACCUGGACAUCAUACUUGUGCGGGAACCAUAUGUAUACAAAACCGAGGUAGGAGCCAUCAAUAUAAAGAGUUUCUAACGCAGGCGUGCAGGCCAAGUAUGAAAGCAGAAUGGACUUUACCCUGGAGAGUCAUCGUUUGCGCCAACCGUGGAACCGUGGUUUACUGCAGGAAAAACAGGCUUCUACUAAUUCUAGCGUGCGAUGCCAACGCACACCAUACAGUAUGUGACAGCUUUAACUGCGGCGCACGGGGCGAGUCUCUUUUUGAAUAUAUUUUGAGUAGAAACCUAAAUGUAGAAAACGUUGGGUGCAUUCCAACUUUUAUAACGAGCCUAAGGAAGGAGUAGUUGACAUUACCUUGAAUAACGACCAUGCGUUGAAGGGUGUCGACAUAGUCCUUCGUGUCCGAUCACUAUACCAUAAGGUUCGCAUUUGGAGUUGAGGUCAAGAACCCCCUCCAGGACAUUGCAGCUGCCCGUUGAAAAUGAUUACCCGUGGCGGACCAAAAUACUCUCUAUCCUCAGGAAAUCGGUUCGUACGUUUUUCAACAUUAAUUCUAGGAGUUUUCAACAACCUUUAAGUUAUUUUUUAAAACCAAAUGGCAAUUAAAAAUGUGGCUCUUUGAGAAUUGUCCCAGCGACAAAUUGACGAAUACAAUAAGAUUUUUAGUUGUAAUAUUUUGUAAAACUAUACACUUAUGUACAUACAUAUUAUAUAAAUGAUUAUAUUUCCUAAUCAUAUUUAUUUAUUCUUCUUUUAACGAUAUGUUCACAUGAAUUUUCAGGGGCAUAUGCUGUUUUACCCACGCACCAUCAGUCAAACUAAAGGUCUGUCUAAGAUUAAGAUCUCAAAGGGCAAAUGCCAGCGGAGAAAAUUUACAUACGGCGCUAUUAAAGCUAAUUCUCGUUAAAUAUUUAUUUCCGAAGCCGAGUAAAUUGCUUGACAGUUAAGCCGAAGGAAGACAGAAAAGUUGCCCCUAUAUUUACUUUUCUGCUUGGAAAAGUUACUCUUAUUUUAGAAUUUUAGUUGUAUGACCAAGUUGAGGGAUGAAUUUUUUGACGUGAGGAUUGACAGUUGGAGUCUUAAAUAAAUUAGAUGAUUGGCUCCAUACGCAUAAGACAAUAACAAGGGAAGUAAAGCGCACUACGACAUCGGAUUAAAUAUCGGCGUGGCGGUCUAAAAAUGAAAAUAAAAAAUUUAAUCCAAACAAACGUAAAUUUACUUUUAUUGAUGGAAAAAGACGAAUUUCAGUUAUUUGCAUAAAUUUGUAAGGCAAAAAUACUCUGCUAGCGGGUCAUUUGGUUUACGUUGUUACGAAUCGAGAUAUUCAAAACAAUACAAAUAGUAUAAUAACUUUGACCAAAUUUAUGUAUUUAAUUUAAAAUUUAUAUUUAGAAAUGUUGCCUUAGAAUUCAAUUUCAUUAGUCAACGAAAACAUGAAUGGAUUCCAUAACUGAUGUCUUUUAGUAUUCUUAUAGUAAUCUUCGUGUAGGCGAUAUUUAUAUCAAAAUUAAAUGAGUCUGUUAUAUAAACUUGAACAAAGGAGCUAAAUAUGUAUAUGAGGUAUAAGUUAACCAAUGCAUCGGAAAUAAUUAUGGUAUAUUAGAGAUAUAAGGUUUAGACCAAGGUCUACCAUAAGCAACAUAAUUUUUAAGAAAAUUUGUAAACUUAACUUCAUUCAAACAUUAUACAUUUUUACUAAAUUAAACGGUU